rnacentral:misc_RNA from 1 species
CUUGGUCACUGAUCUGUCUGCUUCUGGAGGAUUCGCACGUAGAGUUUUGCUGCCGAGAUGAAGAUGUUCCUGUUUCUUGCCUUGGUUGUGCACAGCUGCGUGGCUUCUCCAGUCAGCCAAUCAGCAGUUCGAACGGACAUCACGGCAGCUGUGAAUCUGGCACUAAAGGCCUACCUGAAUUCUAUCACUGACCCUGUGGCACUGGCAUCCCAUAUCGAGUAUAACAUUGAUGCCCCGCUUAUUGCAGACGUUCUCCUAACGAUGGACGGUGCAACCCUCGGGGGCGUCAAGAACAUCGUUGCAGAAAAUUGCAUAACGACGGGCACCGGUCCCAGUGACAUUGAAUUGCACUUCAAUGUACCAGAACUUAUGCUGGAGGUACCGGCCUAUACCAUGGACGGCCUAGUUGUUGACCAUAUUCCUUUACAAGGCGACGGGAUGGCUAGCAUCACCAUCGAGAACCUGGACAUCUCCCUCGUCGGCAAAGGAACCAUCCAGUUAGUUCCGUUCAGCGUGCAAUUCACCGAAAUAGCUCUGGACUUGGAGCUCCUCCGCUGGACCGUGAACUUCGAAGACCUAGCUCCUGGCACCGACCUUGGCACUGUCUUCAACCAGUUCUUCAGCAUGUGCGGUCCCGAGAUUUUCGACCUUCUGGAAAUCAGGCUUAAUGAUGGAGAUUGGCUUCUCAAUUUCAUUAAUGGAAUUUUUAGUUUUUAGGAGCUGAUGGGAUAUGUUGGAAAAUAAGCCUAUAAGCCUAUGAGACUAUAUGUAGGAGAAAAAGACAUAUAGUGGAAUAAGCUUAUUGGUAUAUAUAUAUAUAUAUAUAUAUA